UUGGCCCUCAAUCAAGGCCAGCAGUUUGCUGAAGCUGUUGGUUUCAAACAGGAGCCUAAAGAAUUAUCUUUCUAUGGUCUGUUGGCCAUUUCAGAACUUUGGAAAUGUAAUGGUCAAUUCAUUAGAAAGAAACAUCU
rnacentral:snoRNA from 1 species